rfam:Polaromonas sp. CF318 PMI15_contig_174.174, whole genome shotgun sequence.
AGACGUCUGCGAUGCGCAUUGGGCUUUAUAUUUCCUUGAACCAAUGCUCUUUGAGCACGGGCUUGGUAAAUUGUCCGGCAGGUGUGAUCGUCUCGCGUCAGACGAACCCGAAACCCGACUGCCCUCGCCCACCUGAACCCCUGGUUCAGGAUGACGGUCCAGUGGCACUCGCAGACACCUU